CAUCUUGUCGGUCACAAGCCUCUGCAUUCUUGACCCACGGCCUCGGUGUCUUUCCAGUCUAGCCCUUGCUGGUGUCUUCAAGUCCCCUCCUCCCUCUGGCCUACACAGUCAUAGGCUGGCCUCUGGCGAAUCCAUUGUCUGCACCGCAGUCCUACCUCACGGCCAGAAGGGAAGAACCUUAAGGAUCUUGAUGCUGGCCUGUCCCACUCCCCUGCAUCUCCACUGCCUACUCCGAGCAUCCUUGGCUGGGAACUCUGCUCAGUCCUGCCACUGCUGUACCUGCCACUGAAGACAGCACGCCGCAGCAGAAGGAGCCUGGCUUUCACAGUGAGGCAGACUAGGAGCUGGGCAGUGCUGAGAAGAAACUCUAAGGCCCCAAGUUAUAGCCAGCCCUACGUCAUGGGCAUGCACGUGCCUGGUGUGCUCAAGGAUGUCUUUGUACAUGAACCCAGAAC